UACGUAGGUGGCAAGCGUUGUCCGGAUUUACUGGGCGUAAAGAGCGCGCAGGCGGUCGUUCAAGUCGCGUGUGAAAGCCCCCGGCUCAACUGGGGAGGGUCAUUCGAUACUGAUCGACUUGAAGGCAGGAGAGGGAAGUGGAAUUCCGGGUGUAGUGGUGAAAUGCGUAGAUAUUCGCAAGAACACCAGUGGCGAAGGCGGCUGACUGGUCCGGAUCUGACGCUGAGGCGCGAAAGCGUGGGGAGCAAACAGGG
rnacentral:rRNA from 1 species